rnacentral:lncRNA from 1 species
AAGGUCUUAAUUAUUUCAUCCAGAAAAAGUUCUUCAAAUUUUGUCAGCUUUCAGUGUAGUGAGGUUAUUCCUCAGUGUAGUAGGUUAUGGGGUCUAACUCAGGAUUUAACUAAUGUUUCUGCUAUUUUCUCACUUUUCCUUUUGAUGGUGCGGAAAGAGAAAAAGGAAAACGGGGCACAGGCCAUUCGACGCCUUCUCCAAGGGGUCUGAUUUGCUGAGACACCAGCUUCACCUUCUUAACAAGGUUAUUUCUGACAGCAUGUGUAGAUAAACAUUUAGCAGCAAUUUAAAACAAAAUCAUGUAAAUCGGCUUGGUUUUGCGACACAAAGGAUUGUGUAUGUUUAAGAUGGUAGAGAGGAUUUUUAAAUCCUGUGUAAUCUUUACUGUUUGGGAGUGGGUCAACUCACUGUUUGUCUCCCUGAGGAUUAGGGAGGACAGUAACAUCUGGGGGUUUAAAUAGUAAUUUUACAUUGUAAAUGGGAUUUUUUUAUUCACCCAGGCACCUAAUUACAACAAGCAUGCACAUUUUGGUGCAUUCAAGAAUGGAAUAUCAGAAUAGCAGCAUUCUCCUGGUGGGUUAUGCUCCAUUUAAAGACAUGAAAUGAACUACACAGCCAGGAAGGUGAUAGAUGAGAUAAUAAACCACCUCUGAACCUACACCCGUCUCCUCAUGGUUAGACUUACUAAAAUAAACACACGGCAGUUUCCAGCUACAGGUAGAGUGAGGCCUUUUAAACAAGGCAUCACGGGCGCAGCGUCCACCUUAACGAUAUGGGUAGGGAUUUUCCCACCAUGCUUACUUUACUUUGGUGCUAAUAUGCUGCAUAUUCAGGUCUUUUAUAGUUGUUUUCACUCAAAAUAGUAACUGCUUUCUUCUGAUGAUUUUCCUGGCUUCAUUUUGUAGUUAUUUAAUAAGUUGAUUUCCACUAGAAACAGUUCAUCUUAUGCCUUCAAAGCUUUUGCUUGCUCUUUAAAAACACAAAGUUGCUUGUUACUUGUUCUUUGUGUUUUAGGUGCAGAUCACUGGAAGAUGACGGCAGCCAGAAGACAUGAGCCAAGGUUUCUGUCCCAUAAAAGAUCUUUUCAGUUCUCAUUUAGUGUGUGUCUGACUUGUAGUUUCAGCGUUACAGUUUGGGUUUCAUUGCUGUGGUAUAAGAACAGUGCUGUUGUGCCCAUCUGUAAAGUGCUCCUUGUAUAUCAUAGUUCCUGCAGCUACAGCCUUCCUCGAAAGUAAAAAGCAAGUUUAGUCCUAAAAAGCCCACAUUUCAUAGCUGUCAGAAUUAGGUCCUGAAGAUCACU